ensembl:snoRNA SNORD36 Small nucleolar RNA SNORD36
CUGCAGUGAUGUGUUGAAUUUCUUCACCUGAAUCUUCUGUGUGGAGUAAAUACGAGCUUUUUAACCCUGAGCAUG